rnacentral:lncRNA from 1 species
CUGCUUUUUAACUAACAUAUAUUGGCUUCAUCUUCUUUUUGAUCAGUCUGAUAAACCAUCUGGAAACAAUUGAGAGUGACGUCACAAAGCCAGCAUUAUGAUUUCAAUGUAGGAUCAAAGAAUAGAAGGGGAAAAAGUGAGGAGUGGAGAAGCGAUUUAACCUUUAAGUACAAAUAACUAACAGGGUACAAAAAGGCAAGAAAACAUGACAAAAUGAAAGGAUUAUUGAUGGACAAUAAAGGAAGCGUAGUAGGUUUACCUUGAGAAUUCACUGAGCUAAUAUACUGGCUCCCAUUUCUAUGUUUAUUGUAGGAAAAAGAGAAAAACACUAACCCAGGGAUAGUGCUGACUAGGGAUGCCCAAGUCAAAAAGACAUUGUAGCACUGGGCUUGGCAGAGUGUCCUGAAGCUAAAUGCAGAAGACUGCGGGAAACGUCUUCAACUGGGGCUAAAGGUCAUAAGCAAGGACAAUGAACCUGGAAUUUAGAGGAAUUCAUACUCCAGUGAAGAAUUUCCAGACCCCUCAUGAAAACAGCAGAUUGCCAACUCACCAGAUAAUACUCAAGCUGAAACUAAGCCGCCCCUGGAAAGUAAGCAAAUGAUUAGAAGGGUGGAUUUCAGGCAAGCAAAAGGUGAGAGCCCAGAAUCUCCAUGUGAAUGAUCCUAAAAUUACAGCUAAUAUAGAAAGUGGCUUCCUUGUACCUUUAGAAAUUGAACUCUCAGAACCUGACUGACAGUCUGCUCUUAAGAACAUUAGCUCAAUCUGGAGAGAAAUGUAUGUUUCCAGCUGGCUCGAAAAGUUCUUCUCCUAUAUGGAUUUUAGGUAGAAGCAGAAGGAGGCUUAGAGAUUCUUCAUCAUAACUUGCCAAAAUGAAAAAGAACUGUGAAAAGAAAAUGGACACUUCUUCAGGAUUUUAAGAAGUCUCAUUGAUUUGGCAAUCUUUGAUCUCAUCAUGUGCACAUAGUUUAAGUAUCAGCUCUUCUUGAUGACUUAUUCAUUUAUUUGCCCUCACCCUUGGUCAGGGUCUAUCUGCUGCUACAGAUUUCUGCUGAUGUGCUCCAUCUUCAUCACCUGUACCUCUAUGGAGCCACAGAACCCAUCUUCUAAGGCACAGAGAGCCAAGAGAGCAAGGAGUCAACACUAUCUUCUUUGGUGAGUUGUCCAGCAAGCCUCUUGUCUCCAGAAAUGUCCAGGUGAGAAGCAGACUAAAGAUCAGGUUCUAUGGCUUAGUAAGCCUCUUGAUGGGAAUAGAAGCCAGUCUCCCUGCUCAUAGGUUCUUCAGUCUGUUCCAGCGAUUUCCCCUGAGUGCCCCACCUCCCUUGGGUUCAUAAAUUCUGUAACUCCAUGAGACUGAUCACCUAAAUGACCCUUCUCUUUCUGCUAGUUCUUUCCUUAGACUGACUGGUGGGAGCAGGAGGAGAAGGUGAGAUUUGACAGAGGUAGGAUGGAGUCUGCUACUUCUUAGUACAGGUGGUGGGAGUGGCUGUGAGCUUGUCUGGAUCCAACUGUGGUAGAUCAUAAAACAUGUGAGUACUUCGUAUCAUUUAUUUUCAACUGAGACUGUGAUCACCACCAAUUCUGAUGCACAAAGAAAAGUUCUACUCAACAUACUUUGCAGAAGUUUUGAUUCUAGUUUUUCAUUUCAGUUGUUAUUUUUUAGUUUAGUUGCUUUAGUUGUUUAGUUGCUUAAAAAUCAGAUACCUUUUUUUGUUGUUUCUAAAUCUUUUUUCUUUUUUUGUUGUCUGUGAAAAUUUUCACAUGGUUUUAUUUAUCUGUUUAUUUUUCCAGAUGAUUUAUAGUGUUAAGUUUACUGUCAGUAAUCCUUUCUUAGCUUUCUCUGAUUCAACAUUCAGUUGUCUCUGACUUUUGUAUUUUUCCCGCAUGACAGAAGUGAUAUGUUGAAGGCAGGCAUAACGUUCACUGGGAGGAGUUGUUUACCACAGGCCACUGUGUCAGUAAGAUGGAUAGCAGAUUAUGUGUGAUCCCUGACACAUUCAAUGCAAAUUCAUUCCUUUCUUGCUCACAGAUUUGGGACACAUGAUGCUGGAUUUAAGAACUGCUGAACUCUUUUAAAAUUAUUUUUAAAAAACGCAUUAUUUUAAAAUUUUGGUUUUUUUAAAUUGACAAAUAAAAAUUGUAUGUAUUUAUGUUGUAUAAUGUGAUGUUUUAAUAGAUGUAUACAUUGUGAAAUGGUU